CGCUCCAGGUCCCGAGGAAGAAGGUAUUCUCGCUCACGCAGUCGAAGCCGUGGUAGGAGGUCAAGGUCAGCUUCCUACCGCAGGUCCAGGUCAAUCUCUCCUCGUAGGUAUAGAUCAUUUUCACCUCGCAGAUCACGGUCUGGCUCUUUAAGGAGAUCAAGAUCUAGGUCCAGAUCACGCUCAAGGUCUCGGUCUGUUGUAUGGCCUCGAAGCAGGUCUGGGUCCCAUGGUAGAUCUAAAUCUGGCUUACCUGCUAAAAGUCGCUCAAAGUCCAGAUCACCAUCUCCAAAGAGAAGUCAUUCACCAUCAGGAAGCCCUUGAAGGAGGAAUGCAUGUCCUGAAAAAGUGGAUUCCAGUUAAAAGGUUAAAGUUUAAGAAGAAGAUUUAUUUUGUUUACAUUAUUAUAAGGGAUUUUGUGGUGUCUUUAUAAACGCAAGGGCUUAGUCCUAGAAGGUUGUUUCUAUUGCCUAACAGCAGGCAUGAAUUUGGAUCUUUUAAAAGUAGACUAAUGCAAAACUCCUUUGUUGUGUUAAUGUUCAGUGAUCUGGAAAUAUAGGGCUUUUUGUAUUUGGUGCAUUGGAAUAAACAGUGCAUUUCUAACUAAGA